AUGGAUUUGCUUUCUUCAAGCUCUUAUAUCGUUUUGGGUCACCUAUGUACUUUUCAGUGUAUGUUUUUUAUUCAUGCACAUGAACUGUACAGGAAGGAUCAUAUUGAUUCCUCCCUACCAUUUUAUCUAAGUUCCAUGCCAACAAUGGUGGCUGUGAGUAGUUGUACAGCUGUGAGUAGUAGUACAACUGUACAGGACGAGCAGGUGGGCAUGGAGCCCGACAACAAGGCUCGCGUGGCUGCCCUCGAGGAGUGGGAGGAGAGGCUCCUCGCCAGGGAGGAGGCCCUGAAGAAGGAGGAGGAGUUGGAGGGGGGCAACAAGAAGGAGGAGGCGGGGGGCAACCAGAACAAGGGUCCCUGA
rnacentral:rRNA from 1 species